UGGGGGAUAACGUAGCGAAAGUUACGCUAAUACCGCAUACGAUCUAAGGAUGAAAGCGGGGGGAUCGCAAGACCUCGCGCGAUUGGAGCGGCCGAGUAUCAGAUUAGGUAGUUUGGUGGGGUAAAGGCUCACCAAGCCAACGAUCUGUAGCUGGUCUGAGAGGACGACCAGCCACACUGGAACUGAGACACGGUCCAGACUCCUACGGGAGGCAGCAGUGGGGAAUUUUGGACAAUGGACGCAAGUCUGAUCCAGCCAUUCCGCGUGCAGGAUGAAGGCCCUCGGGUUGUAAACUGCUUUUGUACGGAACGAAAAGGUUUCUAUUAAUACUAGGAGCUCAUGACGGUACCGUAAGAAUAAGCACCGGCUAACUACGUG
rnacentral:rRNA from 1 species